GGAAAAGUCUUUGCUGGUUUAAUUUCAAGCAGCGACGCGUCUUCGCUCGUUUUUUGAAUGAGGUGCAGAUUUAGCUCCGAACUAUCCUUCCAACGGCAAAGCACAGUUGUUGGUUUUGUCUGCAAUGGCUGAAUCGGAUGACAGAGGGGAAGAAGCUGUUUCUGAAUCGCUGAAUGUGUAUCUUCAGGCUUCUGUAUCUCCUUCCUGAUGGUAACAGUGAGAAAAGCGCAUGCCCUGGAUGCUGGAGGUCUUUAACAAUGGAUGCUGCCUUUCUGAGACACCGCUCCCUAAAGAUGUCCUGGUUUCUUUUGAAGACCCUGACCUGGAGUUACACGUUGACGUCGGUCUUUGGGGAAAUGAGACCCGCUCUCGGGGCCUCGCGACCGGCUGCUUUUCGAUAUGCCAAGGACGUUGCCUGGAAGAUUAGCACGCCUUCAGGGUGCUAGAUUUUCGUGGAUCUGGAGGUGGGCAGAUUCAAGGCCGAUGGCACUGCCUGGUGCAUCAUAGGAGAUGGAAGAUCAUAAGCAGUGAGCUGGCUGCUGGCUGUGUACCCAGAGACCCGAGUUCUUUGGGCACAGAGCUGGGAAAAAGUGACGCAACAGACUUUUAACAGCAUAAAUCAGUGAGUUGCUUUGUUAUGCUCACUGUGAAAUAGGGACACCUCUUUUUCCCUUAUUAAGGAGAGAGAGCCUGUGGUAUGUUGAAUUACUGGGCAAAUGAGUAGUCUUUGGGGUACUGCAAAUCUGUGUCUUUACUGAUGCUUUGCUGCACGCUUGAGUGCUCGGUGGGGGAUGCCGAUGCUUUUUUUGCUGGUGGAGGAGGGAGUUCAUUGCUUUGCUGUUGCUUGUGCGUGGGAGGGGGAGCUGGGGCACUUUAGGGUUCUAACAUUUAACUGUUAUUCACUCUUUGAGGCACUCCUCUGUUUUCGGGGAUGUUUGUAAAGAAAAAGGAUUUCAGGAUGUAUAUUGUAUACAUUACUCUGACAUUAAAUGUUCCUAUUGAAACCUAUUGAAGAGGCUUUUCAAUCCAAUUCACCCAGGCAGACGAAGAUGUCCAUCUAAGCCAGUCCCACUUGCCUGUGGUUGGGAAGUUAGUCAGGAGGUUCAGUCACUUGGCAUUCAAGAUGAGCUUGUAAAUUGGAUUCAACGUUAGCUUUGUGGGAGAAGCCCGAGAGUGCUAGUAGGUGGUUGCUUCUCUGACUGGAGGCUUAGACUAAUGGUGUGCUGCAGAAAUCGGUGCUGGGUCUAUUGUUGUUUGUCAUCUAUAUCAGCGAUCUGGGUGUUAAUGUAGUAAUCUGGUUCAGCAAAUUUGCAAAUGACACCAAGAUUUGGGGCAUGGUGGACUGCAUGUAAGGCUAUGAAAACCUGCAGCGGUAUCUAGACCAGCUGGAAAAAUGGCAGGUGGAACUUAAUGUAGACAAGUGUGAGGUAUUGCACCUUGGGAGAACAAACCCAGGUAGGACUUGCACAGUGAGUGGUAGGGCACUGCUGAGCGCAGUAGAACAGAGAGAUUGGGGAAUACAAAUCCAUAGUGCCUUGAAAGUGGUAGACAGGGUCAGAAAGAGAGCUGUUGGCACACUACCCUUCAAAAAUCAAAGUGUUAAGUACAGGAGUUGGGAUGUGAUGUCAAAGUUGCUUAAGACGUUGGUGAGGCCUAAUUUGGAGUAUUAUGUGCAGUUCCAGUCACCUACCUACAGGAAAGACAUAAGAUUGAAAGGAUACAGAGAAAAGUUACAAAGGUUUCCCCAGGACUUGAGGACCCAAAUUAUAGAGAAUGGUUAAGUAGGUUAGGGCUUUAUUCUCUGCAGUGUAGCAGAAUAAAAGGAGGUUUGAUAGAGAUAUACAAAAUUACAAGAGAUGUAGAUAGUAGGCAUAUAAUUGCUAGCAGACUUUUUCCACUGAGGUUGGAUAAGACUUGAGUUAGAGGUCAUAAGUUAAGGGUGAGUAGUGACAUUUCUUAGGGGAACAUGGAGAGGGAACUUCUUCCAUCAGAGAAAUGCUAACAGAAGUGGUGGAUGUGGUCUCCAUUUCAACAUUUAAGAGAAAUUUGGAUAAAUACAUGGAUGGGAGGGGUAUGGAUGGCUGUGGUCUGGAUGCAGGUCAUUGGGACUAGGAAGAGAAACAGUUCAGCAUGGACUACAUGGGCUGUAGUGUUCUAUGACUCCUUGGACAGAGUUCCAGUAAAGAGUCAGAGCAAGUGCAGGUGAAAGCAGAAUGGAGACUGGCAGUCAAGGUAAUGAAAUGAUCAAGUUCUACUAAAGUACACAAAGCAGCACUAAUGCAGUUGUCACCGCAGUGGAGAAAAAGUUGAGGGUGUGGGCGUGAGUAGCUCUGAAACAAAGGACUGUUCCAUAUACCUGAUGUCAUGUGUGAAGCCAAGCAGAGCUGCAGAACGGAUGCUGUUAAUGAGAGAGAGAUAACGAGAGACAAAGGAGAGAUCAAAAUGCUAAUAAGAGAGAAGAGAGAGAUAACGAGAGAGAGACACAUAAUUCAGUGUGUUGGCGUCUGCCACAGACAGUUUGCUCUGAACCUGAACUGUUCAUUAACAGUCCUGCUGAGACAAUAGGAAGUGUGAAGUUUGAUGGACAGGUGAUACCCCAUCGGGGGGGGGGGGAAUAAAAUAGCGGGUUUGCUAAGGCACAGGACACACAUGCUACGAGACCCUGGAAAGAGCAUCGUGCCCCGCAAGUUGGUGGGAGUUUGGAGGACCGAUUCGUGGGAAUCGGUCAGAGGCUCACAGGGUGUAAAGGUACGACCGGUGGGGACCUGUUGUGUGUCCGCCCUUGCCUGGGUGCCGGGUUCACCACGGAAGAACGAUCACAUCUGGAACGGAGGGGUCACAGUCAGUGACCACAACGGGAUCAAAAGGCAUCGAAAAGUUUGCCUGAAACCUCAACUGUAUCUCUCACUCUCUCUCUCUCCAACAGUACAACAACAGCGAUUACUUCGAACUGUACUAGACUGAACUGAACUCUGCUUCACCUUAAGACCAAUCAUUUUACCCCUAGACUGCGAUAGAGCUUGGUUGAUUCUUAUUACCCUAUUUCUGUGUAUAUGUGUAUACUAUCAUUGCUAACCUGUUACAUUUAUAUCCUUGCGGUUAGUGUACUGUAUUACUUAUUUUUUUUGAUAGAACUUUAUUAGUUUCUAGUAAUCACAGACUCCAAUGAGUGUCCUAUUUCUGCUGGUUUGACAAACCAGUUACGGGGUACAUAACACUGACAAGAACAAACGUAGCCUGGGCCCAUGCGAGUGUCCACAGUUACCCCUCUGGCCUGGAGGAAGUGAGUGGACUUGAAAGAGAUGUUGCCCAAUGUGAGAACAAGUUCAGUCAGGCGAACCAGUCACUGUACAGACCUGUAACUAAUAGUUUUCCAUUGCAACAUUAUAUUCACCUGUAGAAACAUGCAUGACCAAUAAAUCACUUCCUAUAAACUUGACAGAUUCUUGAAUGAUCAGGGCAAAGAGGGAUAUGGAAUUAAUGCAGGCAAGUGGGAUUAGUAUAGAUCAACAUGACGAUUGGCAUAAACAGGUAGAUCAAAGGGCCUGUUUCUACGGUGUUCAGUUCCAUGACUUCAUAAGGGAAGGUUCCGUAUUCCUGCAGUGCAGAAUGCCCAUGGUAUUGUGCCAGUUUUCCUUGAUAUCUCGCCUACACAGAAUGUGGAGAAUGCAGAGGAAGGGAAUUGGACUGGGGCAUGGCACAGCCUUCUGGUGCACCCGGGUAACAUCACUUAGCUCAACUCGGAACUGAUUCUACAACCUAUGGACUCACUUUCAAGGUCUCUACAACUCAUGUUCUCAGUGUUAUUUUUUAAUAAUUUGCAUAAUUUGUCUCCUUUUGCACGUUGGUUGUUUGUCAGCCUUUGUGCAUAGUUUUUCAUUGGUUCUGUUGUAUUUCUUUGUUUUACUGUGAAUGCCUGCAAGAAGGUGAUAGUAUAUGGUGACUCAAACAUAUUUUGAUAAUAAAUUUACUUUGAACAUUGGCAAGCAAAGAUAUCAGGGGGACAAUCAGUAACCAAGGAAACUUAAGGAAGCUCCUUGGAGCACGGUGGAUGCCUUGCACAGUAAGACUUCUGCGGAAUUUAUGCCAAAUGUGCAUAUGAUUUGAUGAAAAAAGCCCAACAAUCUCCAGGCAACACUGUGUUCCAUAAACAGAGGAACUGUCAAUAUUUUUGACAUACAGCCGUCAGUUUUCAUCUGAAAAUGGCCUUCCAAGACCAAGGAUUUGGGCAUGUAAUGAUAGAGUCCAAAGUAAUACAACUUGGAAACAAGGCGAAUGGCUCAUUAUAUCUGUGCUGACCAUGGUGCUCACCAAGGUAGUCCCAUUUGCACAAUUUCCCUCUAAACUCUUCCUACCCAUGUCUUUUAAAUGUUGUUAUUGUACCAUCCUCAAUCACCUCUUCUAGCAGUUAAUUCCAUAUAAAUACCACCUCUCUGAAGAAUUCAUCCAUCAGGUCCCCUUUAUACCUCUCACCUGUCACUUUAUACCUGUGCUCUCCAGUUUUUAAUUCCCCUUCCCUGGGAUAAGAAUAGUGUGCAUUCACCCUACCUACACCCCUACAUCCCUACUUACAGCCAAGCUUCAGUAAUUUAAAGUGAAUUGGCUAAAACAAACUAAUAAAGAUCAGGUCCCAAAUGUUUUGAAUGUGAUACAAAGCACUAGAGCAUCAAUGCAUUUAUUUAAAUGAUAAUAGGGUAAUCACACAAACAACUGAAAACAUUUACAAUUCAUACUGAUGCCCGAGAU